CCUACGGGAGGCAGCAGUGGGGAAUAUUGGACAAUGGGGGCAACCCUGAUCCAGCCAUGCCGCGUGUGUGAAGAAGGCCCUCGGGUUGUAAAGCACUUUCAGUGAGGAAGAACGCCUGGUGGUUAAUACCCAUCAGGAAAGACAUCACUCACAGAAGAAGCACCGGCUAACUCCGUGCCAGCAGCCGCGGUAAUACGGAGGGUGCGAGCGUUAAUCGGAAUUACUGGGCGUAAAGCGCGCGUAGGUGGCUUGAUAAGCCGGUUGUGAAAGCCCCGGGCUCAACCUGGGAACGGCAUCCGGAACUGUCAAGCUAGAGUGCAGGAGAGGAAGGUAGAAUUCCCGGUGUAGCGGUGAAAUGCGUAGAGAUCGGGAGGAAUACCAGUGGCGAAGGCGGCCUUCUGGACUGACACUGACACUGAGGUGCGAAAGCGUGGGUAGCAAACAGGAUUAGAUACCUAGUAGUC
rnacentral:rRNA from 1 species